rnacentral:tRNA from 1 species
GCCCGUGUAGUCCAAUUGGCAGUAGACACGAAACUUAAAAUUUCGACAGUAUCGGUUCGAGUCCGAUCACGGGUA